CGACGAAGGGAAAGCAACCCUAGUUGCUGCCCUCAUUUCCAGCAGCCACACAAAACCCUUAGAAGAUCCGAGCUCGAGUGGAGCACGGUGACCUGCCGAUACUCGGAGAUUUUUGCUGUAUAUAAGUUUUGCAGACACAGGGAU